AUCUAUAUAGUAUACACAAGUAUAUUUGACUUCCAAUCAUAAGGUCUAUUGAUAAAUAGUAUAGAUA
rnacentral:tRNA from 1 species